UCAUCUACAAUUCUCACUACUUCAUCUACAUUACUUCUUUUACAAUUUCAUCUUCAACAAAAUCUUCCAUUUUCAUCUACACCAACUCCCCAACAAUAUGUCUUUACUCACAAUGGGCGAAGCACACAGAGGAACAGUUGCAAACAUCGCGACAUACGAUGUCUCAAGGUUUCGAACUCGAGUCCACGAAUUUGUCCCAAUGGACCCGAUGAUUCAACCUUAUGUUGAACUCGCCGGUUUUGGUCACCUUAGCAAAAUUAUGUCUUGGUCUAUAGAUAACAAGUUCAUUCUAGCCUUAUGCGAAAGAUGGAGGCCAGAGACACACACAUUUUGGUUUCCAACCGGUGAGUGUACCGUGACGUUAGAAGACGUCUACAUGCUUUUAGGACUACGAAUUGAAGGCAAAGCUGUUAAUGGUAAGACCAACUAUGCAAAUUCAAUUUGCAUGAAGCUUUUAAACACUGAUUUGUUAGAUGAUAAUGCUAGGGGACAAGGUAUACUACUUUCACGCCUAAAGUCAUAUUAUAAUAGUUUUUAUUUAGAUGAGCAUUCUACCGAAGAUGCUCGAAUCAUCAAAACUAGGUGUUACAUAAUGUUGUUACUAGGAUCCUUUUUAUUUCCCGAAGGUAGUGGUUCUAGCAUGCAUAUUAUGUACUUACCUUUACUUAGACAUAUAGAUAGAAUAGGUAGUUAUAGUUGGGGAUCCGCAUGUCUAGCCUAUCUCUAUAGUUCGUUGUGCAAAAACUCCCACAAAGAUACUUCUACAUUUUCUGGAUGUGCUGUUUUGCUACAAGCAUGGGGAUGGUCAAGACUACCGUCUCUAGCACCGGUCAAUAACAACCCCUUCACUUUUCCAUAUGCAAAAAAGUAAGUUGUUUAAAUUGCUAUAUCUUUACUUCCUUCCUUACAGUUUAUUACCCAUAACUAAUUUAUUUUAACUUUUUGGUGUAGAUGGUCGGCACGCGGUAUGAAUUACAGCAGAUGUCCGAGACACUGUAUUACUCAAUAUCGCAACCUGUUGGAUCACCUUCGACCGGCAGACUUCAUUUGGCGUCCAUACCUUAAUAUGGAUCAUGAGCAUCAGAUCAACCCUGAAGACGCAGCCGUAUGGACAACAUGCACACCGAUAAUACGGUUCAUAACAGUGGAGCUGUAACACCCCG